UUAAGCGACCAAGCGUACACGGUGGAUGCCCUGGCAGUCAGAGGCGAUGAAGGACGUGCUAAUCUGCGAAAAGCGCCGGUAAGGUGAUAUGAACCGUUAUAACCGGCGAUGUCCGAAUGGGGAAACCCAGUGUGACUCGUCACACUAUCAUUAACUGAAUCCAUAGGUUAAUGAGGCGAACCGGGGGAACUGAAACAUCUAAGUACCCGAGGAAAAGAAAUCAACCGAGAUUCCCCCAGUAGCGGCGAGCGAACGGGGAGGAGCCCAGAGCCUGAAUCAGCAUGUGUGUUAGUGGAAGCGUCUGGAAAGGCGCGCGAUACAGGGUGAGAGCCCCGUACACAAAAGCGCAUAUGCUGUGAGCUCGAUGAGUAGGGCGGGACACGUGGUAUCCUGUCUGAAUAUGGGGGGACCAUCCUCCAAGGCUAAAUACUCCUGACUGACCGAUAGUGAACCAGUACCGUGAGGGAAAGGCGAAAAGAACCCCGGCGAGGGGAGUGAAACAGAACCUGAAACCGUGUACGUACAAGCAGUGGGAGCCCCACCACUAAGCCAGUGGUGAACUCCACAUACGCAUCCUUUGCGGAAGAUGCGGUUAACGGCGCGCAAGCGACGUUCAACCUCAAAAGAAGCAGAGGGGGCUUAGUGGUGGGGUGACUGCGUACCUUUUGUAUAAUGGGUCAGCGACUUAUAUUCUGUAGCAAGGUUAACCGCAUAGGGGAGCCGAAGGGAAACCGAGUCUUAAUUGGGCGUUAAGUUGCAGGGUAUAGACCCGAAACCCGGUGAUCUAGCCAUGGGCAGGUUGAAGGUUGGGUAACACUAACUGGAGGACCGAACCGACUAAUGUUGAAAAAUUAGCGGAUGACCUGUGGCUGGGGGUGAAAGGCCAAUCAAACCGGGAGAUAGCUGGUUCUCCCCGAAAGCUAUUUAGGUAGCGCCUCGUGAAUUCAUCUCCGGGGGUAGAGCACUGUUUCGGCUAGGGGGCCAUCCCGGCUUACCAACCCGAUGCAAACUGCGAAUACCGGAGAAUGUUAUCACGGGAGACACACGGCGGGUGCUAACGUCCGUCGUGAAGAGGGAAACAACCCAGACCGCCAGCUAAGGUCCCAAAGUCAUGGUUAAGUGGGAAACGAUGUGGGAAGGCCCAGACAGCCAGGAUGUUGGCUUAGAAGCAGCCAUCAUUUAAAGAAAGCGUAAUAGCUCACUGGUCGAGUCGGCCUGCGCGGAAGAUGUAACGGGGCUAAACCAUGCACCGAAGCUGCGGCAGCGACACUGUGUGUUGUUGGGUAGGGGAGCGUUCUGUAAGCCGUUGAAGGUGUGUCGUGAGGCAUGCUGGAGGUAUCAGAAGUGCGAAUGCUGACAUAAGUAACGAUAAAGCGGGUGAAAAGCCCGCUCGCCGGAAGACCAAGGGUUCCUGUCCAACGUUAAUCGGGGCAGGGUGAGUCGACCCCUAAGGCGAGGCCGAAAGGCGUAGUCGAUGGGAAACGGGUUAAUAUUCCCGUACUUGGUGUUACUGCGAAGGGGGGACGGAGAAGGCUAUGUUGGCCGGGCGACGGUAGUCCCGGUUUAAGCGUGUAGGUGUGUGUUCCAGGUAAAUCCGGUUCACUUUAACACUGAGGCGUGAUGACGAGGCACCACGGUGCUGAAGCAACAAAUGCCCUGCUUCCAGGAAAAGCCUCUAAGCAUCAGGUAACAUCAAAUCGUACCCCAAACCGACACAGGUGGUCAGGUAGAGAAUACCAAGGCGCUUGAGAGAACUCGGGUGAAGGAACUAGGCAAAAUGGUGCCGUAACUUCGGGAGAAGGCACGCUGACACGUAGGUGAAGUGAUUUACUCAUGGAGCUGAAGUCAGUCGAAGAUACCAGCUGGCUGCAACUGUUUAUUAAAAACACAGCACUGUGCAAACACGAAAGUGGACGUAUACGGUGUGACGCCUGCCCGGUGCCGGAAGGUUAAUUGAUGGGGUCAGCGCAAGCGAAGCUCCUGAUCGAAGCCCCGGUAAACGGCGGCCGUAACUAUAACGGUCCUAAGGUAGCGAAAUUCCUUGUCGGGUAAGUUCCGACCUGCACGAAUGGCGUAAUGAUGGCCAGGCUGUCUCCACCCGAGACUCAGUGAAAUUGAACUCGCUGUGAAGAUGCAGUGUACCCGCGGCAAGACGGAAAGACCCCGUGAACCUUUACUAUAGCUUGACACUGAACAUUGAGCCUUGAUGUGUAGGAUAGGUGGGAGGCUUUGAAGCGUGGACGCCAGUCUGCGUGGAGCCGACCUUGAAAUACCACCCUUUAAUGUUUGAUGUUCUAACGUGGACCCGUAAUCCGGGUUGCGGACAGUGUCUGGUGGGUAGUUUGACUGGGGCGGUCUCCUCCUAAAGAGUAACGGAGGAGCACGAAGGUUGGCUAAUCCUGGUCGGACAUCAGGAGGUUAGUGCAAUGGCAUAAGCCAGCUUGACUGCGAGCGUGACGGCGCGAGCAGGUGCGAAAGCAGGUCAUAGUGAUCCGGUGGUUCUGAAUGGAAGGGCCAUCGCUCAACGGAUAAAAGGUACUCCGGGGAUAACAGGCUGAUACCGCCCAAGAGUUCAUAUCGACGGCGGUGUUUGGCACCUCGAUGUCGGCUCAUCACAUCCUGGGGCUGAAGUAGGUCCCAAGGGUAUGGCUGUUCGCCAUUUAAAGUGGUACGCGAGCUGGGUUUAGAACGUCGUGAGACAGUUCGGUCCCUAUCUGCCGUGGGCGCUGGAAGACUGAGGGGGGCUGCUCCUAGUACGAGAGGACCGGAGUGGACGCAUCACUGGUGUUCGGGUUGUCAUGCCAAUGGCACUGCCCGGUAGCUAAAUGCGGAAAAGAUAAGUGCUGAAAGCAUCUAAGCACGAAACUUGCCCCGAGAUGAGUCUUCCCUGAGACCUUGAGUCUCCUGAAGGAACGUUAAAGACGAUGACGUUGAUAGGCCGGGUGUGUAAGCGCAGCGAUGCGUUGAGCUAACCGGUACUAAUGAACCGUGAGGCUUAACCUU
rnacentral:rRNA from 1 species